AGAUCACUGUGGAAGAGAGAAAACGAACCAAGAUUACGCCUUAUCAACAAUAGUAUGUGUGUAUGGUUGGGGUGAGGAAGUUAACAGAAGUCUACAACAGAACACCGCAAUUAUAUGAAACUUAGUUUUAUUUUUUUAUUACCACCAUUAUAAUAGUUAUUGUUGUUUAAUAGACCCCACUGGGUACUGGCCACUAUCAAGUAUCAACUUUUGUGUGCACCCCCUUUCCCGACUGUGGACCCUCUAAGUGCAAUCUCGUCUAAUAAAUUCUGUAUCCCCA